CCUACGGGAGGCAGCAGUGAGGAAUAUUGGUCAAUGGGCGUAAGCCUGAACCAGCCAAGUCGCGUGAGGGAUGAAUGCCCUACGGAUCGUAAACCUCUUUUAUAAGGGAAUAAAGUGUGGCACGUGUCCCAUUUUGUAUGUACCUUAUGAAUAAGGAUCGGCUAACUCCGUGCCAGCAGCCGCGGUAAUACGGAGGAUCCGAGCGUUAUCCGGAUUUAUUGGGUUUAAAGGGUGCGUAGGCGGGGUUUUAAGUCAGCGGUGAAAGUCUGUGGCUCAACCAUAAAAUUGCCGUUGAGACUGGGAGGCUGGAGUAUGGUUGAGGCAGGCGGAAUGCGGGGUGUAGCGGUGAAAUGCUUAGAUAUCACGCAGAACCCCGAUUGCGAAGGCAGCCUGCCAAGCCGUGACUGACGCUGAUGCACGAAAGCGUGGGGAUCAAACAGGAUUAGAUACCCGAGUAGUC
rnacentral:rRNA from 1 species